ensembl:lncRNA
GCCAGGCUUCUUCCACCUGAUCACCUAGUUUAACAGGCAAAGCCACAGGCCCAGCUGGGAAAGAGAGAGGAGAGCACUGGGUGGCCCUCCAAGCUCCUGCUCAGACUCCUUUCUCUGCCAGGCCUUCUUCUCUGGGCUCUCUUGCAAGUGGGUGGUGCUGAGCUCUGGGCUGUACUGGAUGCUGAUUUUCACCAGUGUUUUGAGGUCAGGUCUGGAGUGGGAGCCCCAUGCUGCCCUGAGCCCCAGUCUGCUGGUCAAUAAAACAGGAGCAGCCACAGAGACAGAGGCCCAAACAGCUGGGAAAUGGGAUCAACUAUACAGGACAGUGGAUGACGACUGCUUUCUUGGGCUCUGCAUAGUUCUCCCAAGGAAGGAACUUCUGGGGAAGAUUUCAGUUAACUGAGAUUUCUAGCCACUGUUCAGUUAGUUGAACCCAGUUCCUGAAACUGUGAAAUGUCAGAACUGGAAGGCUCUUAAAGACCAAUUGUCCCAUUUAAGCAAACAUGCUGGGUCAGGGAAGGGACCUUGUCAAGUCACACCCUGGACUCUACUGAGUGUGACAGACCCUCUACAGGAGGCCCUCUGGGGACCAGGUGUGGUUUGGGUGGACAGUGUUGGGGCAGGAGCCUUUGUGAGUCAGACAUUAGGAUCUCCAUAGCUGAAGGUAUUGGGAUGGAAUCUGUUCCAGCCAUGGCCCUUGCAGGAGCACUGAGAUCCAUCCCAGGUGAGAGUUGGACACCUCACUUAUGGCCAUAAUUAUGCCUGUGGGUUUAGACCAAGUUCCGUCUCUCUCUCAGGGUCUCCAUUUCCUCAUCUCUACAAUGAGAGGCUUAGAAAAGAUCUCUAGAGUCUCUACAAUCUUCAUUUUUAAAAGCAGUCAUGAUGUAUGGAUGAAAGCCAUAACUACUAUUUAUUAUCGAAAUAGCUAAGAUUGACCACACUCUCAUUCUGUGCUCAGCCCUGCACUGAGGCCUUUCCCUGUAUCAUUGUCCAUUAUCACAAGGCCCUCAGAUAAGGAGGCUCCAUGGUACAGGCGAGGAGGUGAAGCUCAGGGCAACUCAGGGACUUGUCCAUGAUCAGGCACCCAAGGGAAAGCACUGCACUCAUGUCUGUAGGACCCCAAAACCUGACCUUCAAACAUCAGUCUUAGCUCCCCAGCUGGUAUUGCCAGGGCUAGAACAAGAGAGAUCCCAAUAGAGAUGCCUCCACAGGGUAGUACUAGGUCCUGCCCUAGGAACAGAUGCUCUGGGGAGCUGUCCUGGGUGUAGAAGGCAGUAUCUGCUCUUGGUCCCUCUCCCAGCCCUGCCCCAUGCAACAGUACUGGCCACUUACAAGAGUCCUGGAGGGGAACUGAGGCCAACUUCACAUGCUUUGGGUGGGAAGAGAUGCCCAGAAAGGGUAUGUAUUAUGGCAAAAUGAGUGACUUGCCCAGGGCCACAUGGCCAGCUAGAGGCUCAACUGGGACUCAUGCAGUUGCCUGACUUUCAGGCCACAUCCUUUCUCCUCCAGCCAGUGUUUAUAGGAGAAAUCUGGGCAUUGAUUCUGGAAGCCCUCUUCCGUGCUUCUCUGCAGCCCUGCCACUGUCCCUCUGUGAGGUGCAGACUGCCAGUUACAUUCUUAGAGGAAAUCAAUUUCCCAUGAACAAAACAGCUAUCAUGUCUUCCUUUCUGCUAAACCCACUGCUCCAGGCUUGAAAGGCAGCAAAACACUACGGAUGACUCAAUGCUUAACCAAGCAGGAAAGAAGGUGACUCAAGGUCAGACAGACCUCUGGGACCAGUUCAGCAACGCUGUGGCAGCAACUCUGUCACUAAUCGCCUGAUGCUGCAGAUAACAGAGAGGAUCCUGGCCUUGGACUUUGCUGAGGAGGAGGAGGCAGUGAUUUCCACAACAAAGGGAGACCAGAGUGCCACCUUCCACCAGUCAUUCGCCCAGUAUCUACCGAGUGCUCAUUCUGUCCCAAGCAUUUUGCUAGGGGCCAGGGAACAAGUGGUGAUCAGAAGCAGAUUCCCAGUCCCCCAGGUGCAUAGUCUGGUGUGUGAGUGGAUGGUAAAUGGAGCGGCCAACAAACACACUGGAGCUCUCGGGUGCAGAGUGUCGUGAAGUUUCUGACGGGACAGUUACCCGGGAGAGGAGAGGAAGGGGAGGCAGAGUCAGUUCUGAACCCUAAAAUUGGCAGAGUAAAGGUUGUCACUGCCAAGGCAGGGGUGAAUUCUCAGGUCUCAUCCUUGGCGGCUGUGCAGCAUUAGACAGCGGUGGUCUUUCUGGUCUUUUUGAAGUUCUCUCUCCUGUGUACACCAAUCUGUUCUUACCUGGCCUCUCUGAACGCUUCUCCUCAGGCUUCCUUGUGACUCUACUGUGAAGCUUCCUCAGGGUUCUCUUCUCUCUCUGGGAGUCUCCUGCAGAAACUCCAUUUACUCACUGCUCCCAGCAUCUCCUGCCCUUUCAUCUUAGCCCCCUGCCCCUGCAGGCCAGGCCCCAGGAGCAUCUGGGGUGUGACCACUGGCGCCCCAGGCACAUCUGCUCCGCAGUUCAAACCUCAACCUGCCCUCAACUGCUGCAGUUAAAAGAAAAACCUGGACUCUGGCACCUCCUCCCAUUGCUUAGCAGCUUUGUGACCUUGGGAUGCUCCCAAAGCCCCUGGAGGCUCUGAUUCAUUAUCUCAAAAAUGAGGACAGGGCUCCAACUGCAUCAGCUAUUGUGAAGGUUGAAUGAAAUAGUGUUGCAUGGCUGGGCAUGGUGGCUUAGACCUCUCAGCCCAGCACUCUGGGAGGCUGAGACAGGAGGAGUGCAAGUUCGAGCCCAAGUGGUGCAAUUUCUGAGACCCUAUCUCCAAAAUAUAAAAAAGGGCUGGAGAUGUAGCUCAGUGCAAAGGUACUGGGUUCAGCCCCCAAUACCAAAAAUAGAGAGAGAGAGAAAGAAAGAAAGAAAAAGAAAGAAAGGAAGGAAAUAGUGUUGCACACUGUCCAGCACAGUGCCAACUCUAGCUGGACACGCAGCAUAUAUUCCCUCUGCUCUGGUCAACCUCGUCCUUUUCACCCUCUAUGUUUAUUUGCUCAACAGCUUUUGUCAAGUCCAAUCAUAAAUAUCUCUUGGGUUCAUUCCCUCCUGCAUCCCUUAUGUCAUUGCACUAAUGCAGGACCUUCUGACUGACCUUUUUGCUUUCAGAGUUCCCAUCUGAAAUAUGUUUCCUGGGGCCAAUGCCUCCCUGUACUAUGACACCCAGGUUCUUUAUCAAGUCCUACAAGCUACAUCCCAAGUUGGCUCCCUUUUCUCUGAGACCCUCCUGCCCACCUCCUCCCACACCCCUCCAGGCACUGUCCUUCCAGGAUGCCAGGAAUGGCCACACACCCUUCCUCCUCCGCAUCUCCUCUUGUCUGACCACUUUCACAGAUGAUGUCAGGUUAUGACCUUUGCCAUCUCCCCUCCCUGUACCAGGCUGGACACUCUUUUCUCUGUGCUUCUGCUGUGACCAUUACUGAUACCCUCUGAGGACACAGCAUAAAUGUCAUAAGUGUCAAGGACACCCUGUGUCCUUGGUAGAGGAUCUGCUUUUCCCACAGGGAAAACCUGAUAUCUGGCUCAUCUUUGUGUCCCCCGAAUUGGCACAGGGCCACACAUUUACUCCAGUAAUGAGGUCUCUGGUUCCUAGUGGGCUCCAGUGGUUUGGGAGACUCCACUAAUAAACCAAGAAAAACUGUGGGAAAAUUGCCAGCUGAGGUUAGCUGAGUUUCGUUUCUUUUCCUUUCUUUUCUUUUUGCCUAGUACAUUCUAAGAAGGCAGAGCCUCCCCUUGUUGGUCCUUGGCAAGCUUGGGGCCCAGGGGCUGAACUGUCUGUAUAGUGGGGCCUUGCCCAGUCCUGCUCUCCUUUAUUUUAGUCCACCCCCCCUCCAUAAUCUUAUUCAUCUGGUUCUUGCUUGCUAAGCAGUCCUGUUUCUCUAACUCAAACGAAAGAAGGGACAGACAUCCUCUGCUUUUCUUCCUUUCCCUUACUUCCCAUCUUCUAAACUUUACAGAUAUGUCAGAAUCUUAUAUUACUGCAGCUGAGGUUCAAGGUGGGUUGCUGUAUACAAAGUAUUUAUCGAUAGUGUCUCAAAAAACUAGAGGAAAAUGCUUUUUUGGAGGGGUGGGAAACAGAUGAACUGGGCUUUGCAGAAUGUCUGCUGUAAAUACCCAGUGGAAGGGUAGGAGCGUGGAGUUGUUCCCUUGGGGGAAGCGGGCAGUGGUCUUACUUUGAGUUCAACACACCCUCCCCUGUCUCUGCAGCCAGAAUGCUCCUCUAGGAGGAGGCCAGUUGUGGCUCAUGGGUCAGGUGAAGGCAGGCUAAGGGUGUAGGGUCAGCAGGGUGGACCUCCUGGUCUUUGGGAGGUCUACUCAAAUGAGGCUGAGUAGUCUACAAGACAUCCUAAUUGAGGCAGUGUAUUCCUCAAAGGUAGACCUUAGGUCCUCUGCAUUACAGUCCUCUAGGUGUUUGUUAAACCAGUGGACUCAGAAUCCAGAUCGAAGUGGUGAUGCCCAGCAGUCAGCAUGUGUGACAUCCCUGCCUGGGCCUUGCAUGCACACCUGUUUGUGGGUGAGCAGCUGCAUCUGGCUUGAAAUCCAGACUGGAGUCUUGAGUGGGAAAAGAAUGAAAAUAAGAAUUUUGGCCCACAAUCCAACUGCUGUGUUUUCUACAAAUAUAAAAUAGAACCUACUGUAAACCUAGCAACAAAAAUCAAAUCUCCAGCAAUCUAUAACACUUACUAAUUCUGUUUUGCUUCACCACUAACAAAGAUUUCUGUCUUUUUAAAAAAUUAUUAAUUGUAGUAAAAUUCACAAACAUAAAAUUUACCAGUGUAAACAUUUUUAAGUGUGAAGUUUAGUAGUGUUAAGGACAUUCACAUUGAUGUGGAAUGAAUCUCUAGAAAUCUUCUCAUUUUUCAAAAUUAAAAAAUUGAACCCAUUAAAUGAUGACAAAUUUCCUCUCCCUCCUCAACCUGGCAACCACUCUUCUUUCUGUCUCUAUGGCUUUCUCUGCUGUAGGUCCUUGUGUAAGUGGAAUCAUGCAAUAUUUGUCCUUUUUUUUCUUUUGGCAGGCUUAUUUCACUUACUGUAGCACACUUUCUAAAUGUAAAGAAUUAGUAAGGUACAAGCUGCUCUCAAAUGACAACUGUUUUCUGGGCUCCUCUAGCAGAAUUCUGAUUUUUGUUUUGUUUUGAGCAGUUGUUCUGGGCCCUCAGUUUGCCAAGGCCAAGUGCAGACCUACUCGUGCUUUGCCAGAGGAUUCAGCUGUCCUGGCCAGCUUGGGUCCUCAGUGACGACAGUCUUGCCAAUUUGUUAGAAGUCUUUGAACAUUUUCUUCCUGCAUAAUUUCUACGGUGGAGCUUUUAAAAUUUUCAUUCAAAGAAAAAGGGAGAAAAAUAGACCCAAGUAAGCCUUAGCUUUUGCCCCAAAAGCCAGAAAUCAGUGACUGUCUCCUUCCAGUCUGAAGAUGGUCCCCUUGGUAAUGAAGUCACUCAAUUCCUUCAACUAAAUGAUCCGUUCAGCUUUGAUAUACAAGUUUUAUCUCCUCUAGAAUUUGUGUUCUCAACCCUGAGCUCAUUAGUUCGGGGCCCUGUUGGAGUUUCAGGGUUAAGAAGGCUGGUGUGGAACCUGUCUAGCAAGUUCCCGUGAUCUGGUGAUACACUGUGAGGACCACUGCCCUGGGUGAUCUUUCAACUACAUUGUCCCAGUUCUGCCACAUUAUCUUUCUUGGUUGGAGGCCCCUUCCCCCAAAUCUAAUUUGGGCCUUUCUUCUUCUGAACAGUUUAAACAUUUAAAUAAACAUGAUGAAAUAUUUCUACAGCAAAGUAACAGAGUUCUCCCAAGGUUAGGAAACUCAGUGUGCCCAAAAUUUGUAUCCAUCUGUGCCUAGAAUUAGGGUGCAUUUUGUGAUCAGAACCAAGAGGUGAGUGACUCGAGCUUGGAGGUCAUUUUGUGGCUAGUCCUGGGGUAGGAUCCGAGUCCCCCAUGGCACACUGUAGCAUAGGGAGGACCUACCUGCCCACCUGGCUGAAAGUAGAACAUACCCAGAAAACGUGUUCAAAGUAUACCUGCAAAGUGACAAUGAAGGAACAUACUACAGUGGCCAAGGCUGGUGUGGCCCUACUUCAUUAUCCUCUUCCUUUUCUACCUGCCUUUGGAAAAACUUGAGUUGAAACAGUUAGUACCUGGUGUCUGCUUUCAUCUCCAACCACAGGCAAAUUCUUUGCUCUGAAGAUGUCCCUGGCAGGUGCAGCUUCAACCCUGUGGCAGCUCAGAAUGCAGCAUUAAUCCACCAAGUUCGCAAGAACACCCGAAGAUCUUGAAAAACUUAUUAAAAGAGAAAAUGGUUACCAUUUUACUAAAACAAGAAGAUAGCACACUUCACUUCCCAGAUCUACUUACCAGCAAGUUCCCUCAGCCCCAAGGUAGCUGAAGACUCAGAGGAAGGAAAAUGAAUUUUGAACCCCAGAAAUAGAUACUGUAACGCUGUGUAUCAAAGGCCAAACCAUUUUUGAACAAUGAAUCCCUCUUGCCUUUCACUUUAAUUUUAAAUUCAAUUCUAGUGAACUUGGUCUUGGUUUUUUAAUAAUGAAGCAAAUGAAGAGAAUGAUAACAGGUGCUAGAUAUAGCAAGAAAUAGCAGCUAAUAGUCUAAUAGUGAAUGUAUUACAAAGACCAAAUCCAUGUAUGUCAGCAACUGUCAUGUGACUGGAGGCCACCAAAUGGAGGAGCAGGGAUAUUAGGGAGAUUGUAACACCCUCCAGAUCAACAGAGCAUUUCUGCUCCAUUCAGCCUUUGACAUCCACAGCCACACACAAAACAGUAUACUGUCUUUAUGAAGGCAAGCAGGGAUCUUAUCCACUGUAGAAUUAUUUCCAUCCCCAAACACUUAUAGCAUGGUCAUCAAAGUCUUGGUGCUUAAAAGAUCAGUCUUCAGUGACCUCAGAGUUCCUGUAGGUGAAAUAGCUCAUUAUCUGGUGAUGCAGGACAUCUGAGAUCAGUAAAUGGCCUCUCUUCUACUUGCCUUUCCCUUCAGACAGUGGCAAUUACUGCUACCUCUCUCUCAAGAAAUAAGAAACAGGCCCCUUCUACCUUCACACCUCAAAGGGACCUUGUGUUGUGUUGAUGGCUUGGCCAGGACAUCCUCUUUCUGUACCUCUGCUCUACUUGAGCUAUUUGCACAUGGGAGGAAGCUUGCUAGAGCCAGGGCAGCCUCUGCAGCAGCUCAGGCCUGGGUUCAUGUAUGAACUUAAAAAUAUGACUGUUUGCUCACAAGUGAACACUUCCACUUUCUAAACACCUUCACCAUCCAUUUUUCACUGGGCUUUGUUGCAUCCUGGGAGGAGGAUAGGGCAGACAGUAGCAGUCCUAUUUGACUCCAGUCCAAGAAGAUGGUGGUGCCAUGCCCAGGUCACCUGUGAUUAAUGGUGGAGGUCUCCCCUUGGGUGCACAAGCUUUCCCAAAGUGGGAGAGGCUAGAGGGCAGGGAGAGGUGGCCAGUGUCCUACUCUAGCCCCUGUUCUGGCUUUCUUCUCAUUGGGGUGAUCUAGCUGAUCCGGAGUAUGGUCCAGGUCUAGGCCUUACCCUUGGACUCGCACCCUGUGCGUUGUCUCUGGAGGGGCUUGUUGAGUAUUCAUUCCUGCCUGGAGGCCAAGGCUAGGGCACCCAGCAGUGCCGGCUGAAAGUUCCUGGUGGGGCAAAGGGAGGCAGUUGUAUUUGACAGUCACCAGGGCCACAGACUUAAAUAAAAUGGAAGUGUGGAGGGAGUGGGCAUUGGGUCCCGUGACAUCAGUCCACCCCACUGCUGUGACCACUUGUGAGGAAGCUGGUGGGUCCUGAGUGACAGCUCCUGCUAGACCCUGGGAGCCAGUCCUAUUAUAUAUUUUUCUGGGGUGAUGCUUGGCCCUCAUUGUGGCUGACUUCUGAGCAAGUUCCUAGGGUGGAAGUCACUUUGUGAGGCAACCAGUCUUUUCUGAGGGCCCUACUCUCUGCACACAAGAGUUAGGGAGGUGGCAGGGGUUAGAUGGCUUGCAGAUUCCCUUUCUGGAUAGGACUGACUUCCCUGCAGAGAGCCAUAACAAUGUCAUAUUGUCAGAACUAUGAAAUAAGUGUACAUGUGAAUGUACUUUUUAAAUGAUCAUUUCAUCUAAAGAGGACCUUGGGUUGCUCAGUGGUUCAUCUGAAAUUGAUUCCCUGCCAUCUCUUCUCCAAACAAAACCAGGACAGAUCCUGGGGGCAGCAGAGAAGCUAAGGAAGCUGCUUGCCCAUUGUCUGCAGCUCUGUACCUGGUGAGGCUUCAGCCCAGAGGUCCUGCCUGGGUGGCAGACAGAGGAGCUUGUCCCAAGGGCUUGGUGGUAGUGACUCAUCUCUGAAUGGCUUCUAUCCAUUGCUUGACCCAUUCCUCCCUGCUUUCCUUUCCAAGAGCCAAGUCAUGCUAUGCGGUACUCCAUGGAGCCUUUUUCACUGGAGAAAGAAAGGGAGGUCCACUGCAUUUGCUGGGAUGUAGAGCAACAUCUUGUUUUGUUGAUUUGCCUUCCCCUUGGCCCUGGUGAGAAACAAGUUGUGUCAGUUGGAAAGACUUGAGGAGAAGAGGUCACACCACUACCCUAGUUUUAUGCAAAUAUUAUUGUGGGAGCAUUUGGUUCAUAAAACUCCAGCAAUAUAAUUCUAGCUGCGUGUGACUGUCCUUGAGUAGUGAUUUUGCAGUGAUGGCUGGCACUCUGGGCCCAAAAAUAUUAUCAGGGUACUUUGUGUCUGUCACUGUGUUUGAAAGACCCUUAAUUUCUACCCAAUAAAACCAAUCAACUCUUCAAACCUGCUCUCUCUAAGUAAAACCUCUCUAUCAAGAUCCAAAGUCACAUCAAAGGCACUUGAAUAGUAAUAACACCUCAUGAAGAAACAGGGCUGGGGUUAUACCUCAGCGGCAGAGUGCUUGACUAGGAUGAGUGAGGCCCCAUGUUUGAUCCCCAGAACUUAAGAAAAACCCACCACCAAUAACAAAUUUUUAUGUCAGUCUGUGUGAGUGCACAUAUAAUAG